rnacentral:rRNA from 1 species
UUCCAGACUCCUACGGGAGGCAGCAGUGAGGAAUAUUGGUCAAUGGUCGGGAGACUGAACCAGCCAAGCCGCGUGAGGGAUGAAGGUACAGAGUAUCGUAAACCUCUUUUGUCAGGGAACAAAGGCGGGGACGCGUCCCCGGAUGAGUGUACCUGAAGAAAAAGCAUCGGCUAACUCCGUGCCAGCAGCCGCGGUAAUACGGAGGAUGCGAGCGUUAUCCGGUUUUAUUGGGUUUAAAGGGUGCGCAGGCGGAAGCGGCAGGUCGGCGGUAAAAUUGCGGGGCUCAACCUCGCCGAGCCGUUGAAACUGCUCUUCUAGAGUGGGCGAGAAGUAUGCGGAAUGCGUGGUGUAGCGGUGAAAUGCAUAGAUAUCACGCAGAACUCCGAUUGCGAAGGCAGCAUACCGGCGCCCAACUGACGCUGAAGCACGAAAGCGUGGGUAUCGAACAGGAUUAGAUACCCUCGUA